AUUGGUACUAGAUUGACCAAAAGUCUUUCUAUUUAUACAACAGGAAUUCAAACAGAAUUGAAGGAAAAUGAAUGUGAUAAGACAGAACAAAAUAUUAUUUGAAUUCCAAGUUUUAAUAGAAAUUUUUUAUUGACGAGCUUCAGCAAUUGCACUUAUUAAAGCAAUUAAAAGAAUUAUUGAAAUCAGUUCAAAUGGAAGAAAA
rnacentral:lncRNA from 1 species